GUUAAGGUUCUAUUGUAACUAGUUCUUGUUAUAAGGUAACUAUCAAUAUAAUUCUUAUCUUUUUUUUUUCCAUUAUAUCAAUUUAUGUUGGAUAAAGUUGCAGUACUUAAUUUAACAUUCAUUUGGUUGUCUUGUUGGAUAAAGUUGCAGUACUUAAUUUCUCAUGCCACUUUAAUUGAUUUUUUUUCCAGCAAUUUUUUUCCUAUAAGCUAAACUUGCUGAUCAAGCUUGGUUAUGCAAUAACUUUGGGUAUUAUGUGCUAUUUCAAUAUGUCUCUCCAGUAAUGGUUUGGUUGAACGAAAUUUAGAAAAGUUGCUUGCUCUUUGGUUAGAUGCUUGUAGGUCACAAAAGUUCCUACUUUUGCGCUUUGAAGCAAUAAAUAAUUUCCUAUCAAUUAUUGAAGUGAAUAUUUGUAUAGACCUACCUAGUUUGUGAGUUGUAGGUUGAUGUCUCAUGAGAUUAAAAUGAAUGAUGUUUAAGUAAAUGGAAUUUUUAGAGUCAUCCUGUACUAAGGUGGAAUUAAAUUGGAGAAAACAAAGAAAAAAUAGGCAAUCAAUUACUACGAAGCUCUAAAUUAAUAGUCAGAGUCGUAUACCUAUCUCUUGUGUUUUUAAUAUUCUAGUUUGUUAGACCAUUUUAUGUUUUUUUUUUCAUAUGAUUUUCUAGUUGAUUUGUUAGACUGUGUAGCUAUGGCACAAUUAUUCAAGUGAUUUAGAAGUUUUUCUCCGAAAGAAAACUUUUAAUUGUAUUUAUUUGUUAGAUUUGAAUUACUUACUUAACCACUUCCUUAGGAUAUAUUUAAUGGUGGUUAAUAUUUUUUCUAAGAGCAAAACACAAUUAUAUUUUUGUUCUGAAUUCAUAUGCAGGCUAUGAAGAUAAAGAAUUUUUGGUGCAGGCCAUGACGAUCAAGAAUUUUUGGCUAAGUGUUGAAGGCAACUUGAAGAUAUAGUACUAGAUUUGUUUUCCCUAAUUUUUUAUCAUUAGAAAAUAUACAAGUAUGACACAAAUAUACUUAUCAUUGUGUCUAAUUUUUUAAGUAAUUGGAUGUUCACAUAUUAUUACAUAAUUGAAUUAGAUGAACGAUGAAUUGUAU
rnacentral:lncRNA from 1 species